rnacentral:rRNA from 1 species
GCAAGUCGAGCGGUAAGGCCCUUCGGGGUACACGAGCGGCGAACGGGUGAGUAACACGUGGGUGAUCUGCCCUGUACUUCGGGAUAAGCCUGGGAAACUGGGUCUAAUACCGGAUAUGACCUUCGAUCGCAUGGUUGAGGGUGGAAAGAUUUAUCGGUACAGGAUGGGCCCGCGGCCUAUCAGCUUGUUGGUGGGGUAAUGGCCUACCAAGGCGACGACGGGUAGCCGACCUGAGAGGGUGACCGGCCACACUGGGACUGAGACACGGCCCAGACUCCUACGGGAGGCAGCAGUGGGGAAUAUUGCACAAUGGGCGGAAGCCUGAUGCAGCGACGCCGCGUGAGGGAUGACGGCCUUCGGGUUGUAAACCUCUUUCGACAGGGACGAAGCGCAAGUGACGGUACCUGUAGAAGAAGCACCGGCCAACUACGUGCCAGCAGCCGCGGUAAUACGUAGGGUGCGAGCGUUGUCCGGAAUUACUGGGCGUAAAGAGCUUGUAGGCGGUUUGUCGCGUCGUUUGUGAAAACUUGGGGCUCAACCCCAAGCUUGCAGGCGAUACGGGCAGACUAGAGUACUUCAGGGGAGACUGGAAUUCCUGGUGUAGCGGUGAAAUGCGCAGAUAUCAGGAGGAACACCGGUGGCGAAGGCGGGUCUCUGGGAAGUAACUGACGCUGAGAAGCGAAAGCGUGGGUAGCGAACAGGAUUAGAUACCCUGGUAGUCCACGCCGUAAACGGUGGGUACUAGGUGUGGGUUUCCUUCCACGGGAUCCGUGCCGUAGC